rnacentral:snRNA from 1 species
ACAUGUGUGCGAGUCAACGG